rnacentral:lncRNA from 1 species
UUCUCAGGGCUGCACCCUCGGCAUAUGGAGGUUCCCAGGCUAGGGGUCAAAUCAGAGCUGUGGCUGUUGAUCUACACCACAGCCACAGCAAUGCCAGAUUCGAGCCAGGUCUGCAACCUACACCACAGCUCACACGUUGCCGGAUCCUUAACCCACUAAGCAAUGGCCAGGGAUCAAACCUACGUCCUCAUGGAUGCUACUCAGAUUCAUUUCCACUGAGCCAGAAUGGGAACUCCAAUUUGUUUUGUUUUGUUUUUUAAUGGCCACAUGUGGCAUACAGAAAGCUCCCAGGCUAGCAACUGAAUACGAGCUGCAGCUUUGACCUAUGCCACAGCUGCAGCAAUGCUAGACCCUUAAUCCGCUGCAUCAGGCCAGCAAUUGAACCUGUGCCUCCACAGUAACCCAAGCCACUGCAGCUGGAUUCCGAACCCACUGUGCCACUGUGGGAACUCCUAGAAUUUUUUAGGUAAUUAUUGCUUUGCUUCUUCAUUCUGUCUCCUCCACUGGAACACAUGUUCCAGAAAGCAGACCCUAGGUCCAUUCUAUCCUUCAGUGAAUCCCCAGCAGACUUAGUGCAGAAGUUGCCCUGCUGAGAGCAUUAAAAUGCUAUUAACUGAAUAAAUGACUGUGAACACAGUCGUGAACAGUGCAUCAAGAACCUAAAACAGGUUUAAAAGAAAUGCUUGAUUCUCCUUUUCUAUUUCUGAGUCCUGAUCAUAAGGAAGUAAUCAGAGAAGUACAUAAGGAUUGAUAGCCAAAGAUUUUCAUUGCCAACACUCUUCUAACAGCAAAAACUGGAAACCCACAUGCCCAACAAGAGGAAAAUACUUAAAUAAGAUAACGAACGGAAGAGUCAAUUAUAAAGUUUAUUUUAUAAAGAAAGUAACAAACAAUGCACAGCGGGACCCUUCAUUUAUAAAACAGAGCCUAGUGUUUCAUAUGUAAAAUAUAGGGAGGAAAUAGCCCAAAAUAUGAGUCAAGACUUUAUUUUCUUCCAUAUAUUUCCUACAUUUUCUAAUUCUACCUAUUUUCUUACUUUCCUUUCUUCCUUUCUUUCUUUCUUUGUCUUUUUUAGGGCCACACUCUUCGCAUAUGGAAGUUCUCAGGCUAGGGGCUGAACUGAAGCUGCAGCUGCCGGCCUACCCCACAGCCACAGCAACAUCAGAUCCAAGCCACAUCUGCAACCUACACCACAGCUCACAGCAAUGCUGGAUCCUUCGCCCACUGAGCGAGGCCAGGGAUCAAACCCGCCUCCUCAGGGAUACUAGUCGAGUUCAUUACCACUGAGCCACAAUGGGAACUCCCUAAUUCUACAUAUUUUCUAGUUUCUGACUUGGAGUAACAGGAUACAUUUUUAAAAACAGAAAUGCAAAGUAAAUAUUAUUAUUUUUAACAUUUAAAAAAAAAAAGUCACUCCUGCUUGGGUAUCUUCUUUAGGUUUCAUGGGAAAGGCAACUUUCACCUGCCAACACUCCCAGCAACUGAGCAAAGGAACAUCUCAGUCCUGGGAGCAGAAGGAGGAGGGGUGGGAUCCAUCGAGCAAUGUCUACUAUCCUGGCUGAUGGGGGGAGUGGGGGGGGGAGAGUUUCUUUUCACUCCGUGUCCUUUUGUAUAUUUUCCAUUGUGUAUUGGUAUCGCAAUGUAUUUGUCAACUCAAUACCUGCUCAAAAAUAAACAACUGAAAACAGCAACCACCAAAAAUAAAAGAAGAAGAAAGCUUAUUUUCAUAUAGGUUUAAAAAGACAGCAGAAAGGCUACACCCAAUCAAGGAAGAUGGCUCUCGUUAAAAAUUGCAUGAGAUGCUAUCAACAUGCAAAGCAUGGUAAUAGCCUGAGAUAAUUUAUUCUGAUUCCCAAAACCCAAGGAAAAAAAAAUCAUUAAUAUGGACUCUUUCACCUCGAAAUCUACAGAAACGCGCCACCUCCUGCACUUCUCAGGCUGGCGUCCCCCCUGCCUCCCUUUAACUGUGGCUCCAGAAUAUCCCUUCCCCUCACUCUGGCUUCUCAGUCUACAUCUCUCUUUGCUUGUAUGUUUCAUGCUCAGCUUCCCUCGACUUCCCUUUGAAGUUGACAUUCUUGUCACCCUUAUUCUCCCCAGGGCUGCCUUUUUUCUCUCUCUCUCUUUUUUGGCUACAAUAUGAAAAUAUAUGAGAAGGCUUUAUUGAACAGCCUGGAUUUUCUCCCAUUCAUAUCAAAUCAGAGGAGCAAAGCCAUCCAUUUACAUCUCUCUCUCAAAAAAAAACAAAAAACCCACUAAAUCAAAUUAUUUUUGUUUCGGGAGGUCACUGCUUUUCAGUGGCCCAUUAUACCCCCUCUCCCUCCAGAGAGGCCCCGGGGAAGACAGACUCACCCUAGCCGAGAAAUCACACCAGCAGACAUUGAUGAUAAGCUGAUUAAAAUGUAUCUUAAGAAAAAGGCUGUGAGGUAAGGUGUGGUUUGGCAAUUUAGAGUCUGCCCAGAAAUCUGGAGACCACAGUUAAGUGUGUAGCUCCUAGGAGGUCAUAAAAAUAGCAUCUUAUUCUCAUUCGGGAGGACAAAUCCUUGGUACAUCAGCAUAAACUGAACCCAGAUGAGUUUUGCCCAAAACAAGCACAGGAAGUUCCCCUUAUGUCUCAGUGGUAAGGAACCCAACUAGGAUCCAUGAGGAGGUGGAUUCGAUCCCUGGCCUCUCUCAGUGGGUUAAGGAUCCAGCAUUGCCAUGAGCUGAGGUGUAGGUUGCAGACACAGCUCAGAUCUGGUGUUGCUGGGGCUGUGGUGUAGGUCAGCAGCUAGAGCUCCAACUGGACCCUAGCCUGGGAAGUUCUGUAUGUCGCAUUUACAGCCCUAAAAAAGCCGAAACAAACAAACAAAAAACACCAAAAAAUCAACCAAACAAAACAAUCAUAGCCAUUGGAACAACCUGACAUCAAGACCAGGCAUGGAGAGAAGUCCAGAAAGCCAGCAGAUUACAGCUGGUGAGAUCAUGCAGUCAAUCUAACAGUGAAACAAGAUUUGAAACAUCAUCACUUCAGUAGAAAGUAGAAAAUUAAGUAUCCAGCAGAGUAACAGUGAAAGAUACCCGUCAGCUAAGCAGUUCUGCUCCUCCCUGGAGGAUAUAAAGAGUUUGGAGAGAACAACAGUAUCUCAAAAAGAAAGAGUAUUUUGAGAGGGUUCUGAUUUUUUUUUCCAACUUGGAAAUAGAAACACAUAUUUAAUUAUAACGGUUCUCAGAAUGGAAAUAUUGGCUUCUGGACUUUAAAUACAUCAGCCUCAGAUCUUAUUAUUCUUCUACCUUUAGCCAUUUUUGCCUUCAUGAGUUAUUUAUCACUUCACUUGCAAUGACUUUGAUAUGUAAAUUAAAGCCACUGUACCAAAUGUUAUGAUUCAGAUAAAGAUCUAGAAACACUAAUAUUUUUCAUUAUGGAUUUUUGCUUAUCCAACUGAAUCCAACAGAAUUGCCCAAUUGGUAGGGAAAAUAUCUGCACAGAGUGUCAUAGAAUUUUAAAACCACUGACAAUCCAAACACAUCGACUAAAGAUGUCCAUCAUAAAGGCAUCUCAAUUUGUAAUUAUGGCACAUGGUCUCGUAAUUUGAACACCAGGAUCAAAUUUCCUGUUUAAAAUAGAGAAGAAUCAUUCCUCCACCCAGUUUGCAAAGGUCUGAGUCUUUAGGCUCAGAAAUGUAUUAAACAGAGUGGUUGAUAUUUCAGGCAUCAUCUGCAUUUACCAGCCACAUGGCCUUGGCCAAGUUAUACAGCCUCUCUUUGCCUGGGUUUCUUUAACUGUAAAAAACGGUGAAGAAAGAGAACUUGCCACAAGCAUGGAACACGAUAAUCCAAGUAAAAGUGCUGACUUAGCCCAGCACCAAUACAAUAAUCCAAGUAAAAGUGCUGACUUAGCCCAGCACCAAUACAUGUCAGUUGAUUUUAGUUCCUUAGGCAGAAUGAUGCAGUGACAGCUUUGUCACAUUCUUAAGAUUUAAGGAACUACUGUUCUUAAAGAUGGAGAGAUGGCCAUACAGUCUCUUGCUGAGGUCGGGGAAGGGGGCAACAUGUGGCUACAUUCAAACAAAGAGGCAGAGGCUGACAUGUCUCUGGACCACAGAUGUUGUCCCACCUCACUCAUCUCUUGUGCCCUGAGAUGGUCAGAGGGAAAAGGAAGCUUCUCUGGUCACUCAGACACCUGUCAGGGGACCCAUGAGCAUCCUGUGAUGGAGCUAGGGUCCUAAUACCUUGGACAGCUAAUGGCAAAGCAGAACAAGAGUCCAGGGACAGGGCAGAGACCGCCUCAAGAUCCCUGAAUGUUUUUGCCUCCUGCAGCUCCGAUGUUUCUUUAAAAAAAAUAAAAAUAAAAAUGGGGAUGGGGUGGGAUGGAUGGGGAGUUUGGGGUUAGUAGAUGCAAACUAUUACAUUUAAAUGGAUAAGCAGUAAGGUCUACUGUAUAGCACCAGGAACUAUAUCCAGUCUCUUGGGAUAGACUAUAAGCAAAGACAAUAUAAGAAGGAGAAUGUGUGUAUAUAUAUGUGACUUGGUCACAAAACUAAAACUGUGUAACUGUGUGCUACAAUAAUAAUAAUAAUAAUAAUAAUAAUAAUAAUAAUAAAGUCUUUAAUUUAAAAAAAGAAAAGGAAUAGGGAAUGUGUGUGUGUGUGUGUGUAUGACUGGGUCACUUUGCUGUACAGCAGAAAUUGGCACAACAUUGUAAAACAACUACAAUAAAAAAAAGCCAAAGUUAGAACUGGAGAAGGGC